rnacentral:rRNA from 1 species
GUUUUUGAGAUAAGAGCUGACCAACGCCCCUAUCUCGAUCUGGUCUGAGCCUACCAUCACGAACACUGAGACGGGGACACAGACCAUGAUCCCCCGGGAUCCUCCCGAGAUUAAUUUUCCUCACCGCCGGAAGGCCUGACGGAGCCCCACCCCUUGAGGGAUGAAGGCUCUUGGCUUGUAAAUCUCUUUUCUCAGGAAAUAACCUCUGAUCUUACCUCAGGAACUGACCUCAGCUAACUCCCUGCCCUCAACCGCGAAAACCCGGAGGAGGCCAGCCCUGUCCCCAAGUAUUGAUCUUAGAGCGUCCCGCUGUGGAGAUUCACUGCUGCUGUCAAACCAACGGGCUUAACUGCUCUACCGCAGUGGAAACUGCCUACCUAUUCUGUCGAAGGCGUACAAGGCAAUCCCGCUGUAGCGGUGAAAUGCCUAAAGGUCUUGAAGAAGAUCGGUGGCAUGGCGCUCUACUGGACGGAAACUGACUCUCUUAGGCGAAAGCUGGGGAGCGAAUGACACUAGAUCGCUCAAUAGUCUUGAGCGUAAACGAUGCAUACUAGGUGUAGCUAGU